rnacentral:rRNA from 1 species
CCUACGGGAGGCAGCAGUGGGGAAUAUUGGGCAAUGGGCGCAAGCCUGACCCAGCAACGCCGCGUGAAGGAAGAAGGCUUUCGGGUUGUAAACUUCUUUUCUUAGGGACGAAGAAAGUGACGGUACCUCAGGAAUAAGCCACGGCUAACUACGUGCCAGCAGCCGCUGUAAUACGUAGGUCGCAAGCGUUAUCCGGAUUUAUGGGGUGUAAAGGGCGUGUAGGCGGGAAAGCAAGUCAGAUGUGAAAACUCAGGGCUCAACCCUGAGCCUGCAGUUGAAACUGGUUGUCUUGAGUGCUGGAGAGGCAAUCGGAAUUCCGUGUGUAGCGGUGAAAUGCGUAGAUAUACGGAGGAACACCGGUGGCGAAGGCGGAUUGCUGGACAGUAACUGACGCUGAGGCGCGAAAGCGUGGGGAGCAAACAGGAUUAGAUACCCCAGUAGUC